rnacentral:tRNA from 1 species
UAUAUUUUAGUGUAUAAACACAUAAAAUUUUGAAUUUUAAAAAAUUAAUUAAAUUAAUAAAUAUAA